rnacentral:piRNA from 1 species
UCUAUUAGUUUGUCUUUGUGA